rnacentral:rRNA from 1 species
UUGAACGCUGGCGGAAUGCUUUACACAUGCAAGUCGAACGGCAGCACGGGGGCAACCCUGGUGGCGAGUGGCGAACGGGUGAGUAAUGUAUCGGAACGUACCCAGUCGUGGGGGAUAACUAUCCGAAAGGAUAGCUAAUACCGCAUACGUCCUGAGGGAGAAAGCGGGGGAUCGCAAGACCUCGCGCGAUUGGAGCGGCCGAUAUCGGAUUAGCUAGUUGGUGAGGUAAAGGCUCACCAAGGCGACGAUCCGUAGCGGGUCUGAGAGGACGACCAGCCACACUGGGACUGAGACACGGCCCAGACUCCUACGGGAGGCAGCAUGGGGGAAUUUUGGACAAUGGGCGCAAGCCUGAUCCAGCCAUUCCGCGUGAGUGAAGAAGGCCUUCGGGUUGUAAAGCUCUUUCGGCCGGGACGAAAUCGCACGGGUCAAUACCCUGUGUGGAUGACGGUACUGGAAGAAGAAGCACCGGCUAACUACGU